AAAAGUAUUUCCAUCAUUUUAGUAUAAUUGGUAAUAAAUGGAUGGCUAUUAAUAAUUCAAUGUCAAAUAGGAAGAGAAUAAAGGGGUAAGGAAGUAGCAGGGAAUAGAUGGAAAGAACACGCAAAAGGAAAUACAAUCAACUUCUCAAGUCAUAUUAUAUAACCAGUAAACAGAAAUAUGUGCUGCAAUAACAUCUAAAAGGCAGUGAGGUAACAGAUCUCGAUCGGCACAAAUUACAAAUUUGAUAAAAAGCAAAAUCAAUUAGGCCAGAAGUAUUUAUGAUUUAAAUUAUCAAAGUAAUUCCCAAUUCCUACAAAUAAAGAACAUUGCAAGAGAAACUCAGAUAUCAA
rnacentral:misc_RNA from 1 species